rnacentral:rRNA from 1 species
AUUGAACGCUGGCGGCAGGCCUAACACAUGCAAGUCGAACGAGUGGCGGACGGGUGAGUAAUGUCUGGGAAACUGCCCGAUGGAGGGGGAUAACUACUGGAAACGGUAGCUACUACCGCCUACCAUCGGAUGUGCCCAGAUGGGCUUAGCUUGUAGGUGAGGUAAUGGCUCACCUAGGCGACGAUCCCUAGCUGGUCUGAGAGGAUGACCAGCCACAAUGGAAAUGCGAAACGGACCAGACUCCGACGGGAGGCAGAAGUGGGGAAUAGUGCACGAUGGGGGCAAGCAUGAUGCAUCCAUGCCGCGUGUAUGAAGAAGGCCUUAGGGUUGUAAAGUACUUGUAGUAGGGAGGCGGUACCCGCAGAAGAAGCACCGGCUAACUCCGUGCCAGCAGCCGCGGUAAUAC